rnacentral:lncRNA from 1 species
GUUGUGUUGACCUAAACCGUUUGCCAAGGAAGGGGAGGUGAUCUUUCCUGCAUGCUUCCUUGCCCUGCAGUCGUGCAGAACAUCGAUGGAGGGCAGGUGGCAGCCAAUGACCCUCUCAGCAGACCGGACAAUCCGUUGCAGUGAUGGAAGAGAUGGUCACAUGCAGUUGGACACAUGGAGGAGAGAAUCAUUUUCGCAGUAUCUUCAAAACCUUGUCUUUUUGACAACUGCUGACAGCUACAGGGACAUAAACACAAAAAAUGCUCUUUGGAGACAAGUGUCCAUGAUAGUAGGAUUGCCAGAAGAAGACUGUAGGAGGAAGUGGAGAGGACUCAGGGACAGGUAUCAGAGAGAGAAGGGCAGAGAAAGAGAAGAAGAGGUCUGGUUCAGCAGCUUGGCGCUUCUGCCACAUUCUUUCUUUUCUGGAUCCGUUUAUUGUGCCUAGGGCAACAAGUGGACAUUUUACAGCCAGACCCUCUACUACGUCAUCCACAAGUGUUGUCGCCACCGGUGCAUCCAUGACGUCCAGGGGCCAUUUGUUUCUUUAGCUGUGUUAUGGCUACAUAUUAUUUUCUUUUUUUCAGAGACAGAGAAA